rnacentral:tRNA from 1 species
AAUCUUAUAGUCAAUAAUGAUUUUAAAUUGCAAAUUUAAAGGUUAAUUUUAAAAUUUAAGAUUU